rnacentral:rRNA from 1 species
UUCGCAAUGCCCGAAAGGGUGACGAAGCGACGCCGCGUGUGGGAAGAAGGCCUUCGGGUUGUAAACCACUGUCGGGAGUUAAGAAAUACAAGGAUAUUAAUAGUGUCUUUGUUUGACUAAGGCUCCGGAGGAAGCCACGGCUAACUCUGUGCCAGCAGCCGCGGUAAUACAGAGGCGGCAAGCGUUGUUCGGAAUUAUUGGGCGUAAAGAGCACGUAGGCGGCUAUGUAAGUCGGUUGUGAAAGCCUUCCGCUCAACGGAAGAACAGCAUCCGAUACUACAUGGCUUGAGUGCGGGAGGGGAGAGUGGAACUUCUGGUGGAGCGGUGAAAUGCGUAGAUAUCAGAAGGAACGCCGGCGGCGAAAGCGGCUCUCUGGCCCAUAACUGACGCUGAGUGUGCGAAAGCUAGGGGAGCAAACGGGAUUAGAUACCCCGGUAAUCCUAGCCGUAAACGAUGGGCACUAAGUAGAGGGGUUA